GCUCCGGUGGCCUAGUAGUUAGAGCGUCCGCCUAGGAUGCGGGUCAUCGUGGGUUCGAUUCCCGGUCGAGUCA